GUGCAAUGUCAUUUGGCAGUUGCUAACACUUUAAGGUAUUGUCAUGUAUAAAUAAGGGCAUUAAUUCAUGGGAUGAAAAUAUAACUUUUUUUUCAAUCUAUUUUUAUUGAGGUAAGCAAGUUUAUAUUACAGAAUGGUGAGUAUAACGUUAGUACAGUUGAUACAUAAGAAAUAAAUAACAUAAGUAAUGCGCUAUCUUAAUUGGUUCAUCAGUGCUCAGAUGCCUUCUUUUACAUGCGUUCUUACAGAUUUUUACUUUGCAUUUAAGACAAGUGUAUACUAGUUCGGUGUUGGUUAUAGUGUCAGCUAAGCCUCAGGUCUCCUCUGAGGUCGUCUAUGUAUUCCCCACUGCACUAGUCGGUCAGGUCAUCCAGACCAUCUCAUGUGGAGUGCUAGAGCGUGUGUGCUGCGUCAAUGCUGUGUGGCGUAGGUUGCUAGGAGUGAAAAUAUAACUUUGCCUCUCUGUAAAUCACUGGUAAGACCACACCUUAGAUAUGCCUGUGCACUUGUUCCACAGAAGGAUAUUAUGGCACUAGCAAAAAUGGCCAGGGUGGCUAGAAAGAAGGAGGAGGAAAAA